UACGGGGGGGGCAAGCGUUGUUCGGAAUUACUGGGCGUAAAGGGCUCGUAGGUGGCCAACUAAGUCAGACGUGAAAUCCCUCGGCUUAACCGGGGAACUGCGUCUGAUACUGGAUGGCUUGAGUUCGGGAGAGGGAUGCGGAAUUCCAGGUGUAGCGGUGAAAUGCGUAGAUAUCGGAGGAACACCGGUGGCGAAGGCGGCUACUCG
rnacentral:rRNA from 1 species